rnacentral:tRNA from 2 species
GCGCCAGUAGCUCAGCUGGAUAGAGCAGCAGCCUUCUAAGCUGCGGGUCGGGGGUUCGAGUCCCUCCUGGCGCGCCA